ACAAGAACAUACAGGACAGGUCUGAAACAUACAGCUCUCAGUUACUGAACAGGUCUGAAACAUACAGGACAGGUCUGAAACAUACAGGACAGGUCUGAAACAUACAGCUCUCAGUUACUGGACAGGUCUGAAACAUACAGCCCUCAGUUACAGGACAGGUCUGAAACUUACAGCUCUCAGUUACUGGACAGGUCUGAAACAUACAGGACAGGUCUGAAACAUACUGGACAGGUCUGAAACAUACAGCUCUCAGUUACUGGACAGGUCUGAAACAUACAGCCCUCAGUUACUGGACAGGUCUGAAACAUACAGCUCUCAGUUACUGAACAGGUCUGAAACAUACAGGACAGGUCUGAAACAUACAGCUCUCAGUUACUGAACAGGUCUGAAACAUACAGGACAGGUCUGAAACAUACUGGACAGGUCUGAAACAUACUGGACAGGUCUGAAACAUACAGCUCUCAGUUACUGAACAUUUCUGAAACAUACAGCUCUCAGUUACUGAACAGGUCUGAAACAUACAGGACAGGUCUGAAACAUACUGGACAGGUCUGAAACAUACUGGACAGGUCUGAAACAUACAGCUCUCAGUUACUGGACAGGUCUGAAACAUACAGCUCUCAGUUACAGGACAGGUCUGAAACGUACAGCUCUCAGUUACUGGACAGGUCUGAAACAUACAGGACAGGUCUGAAACACACAGGACAGGUCUGAAACAUACAGGACAGGUCUGAAACACACAGGACAGGUCUGAAACAUACAGCUCUCAGUUACUGGACAGGUCUGAAACAUACAGGACAGGUCUGAAACAUACAGGACAGGUCUGAAACAUACAGCUCUCAGUUACUGGACAGGCCUGAAACAUACAGGACAGGCCUGAAACAUACAGCUCUCAGUUACUGGACAGGUCUGAAACAUACAGGACAGGUCUGAAACAUACAGGACAGGUCUGAAACAUACAGGACAGGUCUGAAACACACAGGACAGGUCUGAAACAUACAGCUCUCAGUUACUGAACAGGUCUGAAACAUACAGCUCUCAGUUACUGGACAGGUCUGAAACAUACAGGACAGGUCUGAAACAUACAGGACAGGUCUGAAACAUAC